AGUGAACGCUGGCGGUAGGCCUAACACAUGCAAGUCGAACGGCAGCACAGUAAGAGCUUGCUCUUACGGGUGGCGAGUGGCGGACGGGUGAGGAAUACAUCGGAAUCUACUUUUUCGUGGGGGAUAACGUAGGGAAACUUACGCUAAUACCGCAUACGACCUACGGGUGAAAGCAGGGGAUCUUCGGACCUUGCGCGAUUGAAUGAGCCGAUGUCGGAUUAGCUAGUUGGCGGGGUAAAGGCCCACCAAGGCGACGAUCCGUAGCUGGUCUGAGAGGAUGAUCAGCCACACUGGAACUGAGACACGGUCCAGACUCCUACGGGAGGCAGCAGUGGGGAAUAUUGGACAAUGGGCGCAAGCCUGAUCCAGCCAUACCGCGUGGGUGAAGAAGGCCUUCGGGUUGUAAAGCCCUUUUGUUGGGAAAGAAAAGCAGCAGGUUAGUACCCCGCUGUCCUGACGGUACCCAAAGAAUAAGCACCGGCUAACUUCGUG
rnacentral:rRNA from 1 species